AAAGACUGCAGUUUUGUACCGUUUAUAUCCAACAUUUGAUUGUUUGUCUUACUUGAAAAAAAAUAUGAUUAGUAUUUUUAUUGUUAUUAGAUGAUAAAAUAUGAAUAGUCCUUUAUGUGUGACUUUUUUUUUAAUUUUUUCUUAAAAUUUUCAAAUAAGAUGAACGGUCAAACGUUGGACAUGAAAACCCACAACUGCACUUAGA
rfam:Oryza meridionalis cultivar OR44 (W2112) chromosome 1, whole genome shotgun sequence.